UGAAGGGGAAUGUCCUAGGUAUACUGAUCAGGGGUAUUAGAAGAAAAUGAUCUGAUUGGGGUUCUGAGGGUCACUCUUAAAACUCCUAUGUAGCAGGAGGCCCUGCAAGAUGACCACAUGCCGUUGGCCAGAGGCCAUCAGAGAAUAAAAGGCCACAUGAAGCCCUGUCAGGGGUCAGUUGGCACUGGAAUCAACCAGAGAGAGGCAGACAGAAGGCUAAGAAAGAUGAGAUAAAACUGAGAAGCCAAGUGGUUCAUGGGAGCAAGACAAUAAUCCCGCAACUCGUUAGAAGCUGGAUAAAACCUGGCAGUUUAAAAUAGAUAUGGCAAUUUACUGAGUACCAAAAUGACAUCUGUCAUAAAGACAAGAAGUGGAAAACAUUUAACACAGACAGAAAUGAUACUAUCAGCUGGCCUGCUUGAAGAACAUUGAAAGGAGUUCACAGUAGGAUAAAGGUGUGAAUAAUUCAAUAUAGGAAACACAUUGAAUCAAUUGGUUGUGUGAAGAUGGGGCGGGAGGAGGAAGGGAAUAUUGCGAAAGCCAGAGCUUUCAAAACUUGCCAACAAAUAAAAUGAAGGACUUUGUCACACCACAAGACACAAAGCAGUCUUAAUUUUUAAAGCAUAGCUCUGAAGCACAGAACAAUCAAAUUAUUUGAUUGCUUGUCUAACAUGAAGGCAGCAUUAUCAACGGACAUUCUGCAGCUGUGAGAUAAGAUUGCAGGAAAGCAAUCCUGCAAAACUACUUUUCCGUGCAACUGACUAUGAUUUGGUGAUUUGGACAUUUCAGAUUUAAUAAAAAGGACUAUUUAAAUAUAUAUUUUAAAAAAUCUUCAGACC